GCCACUGUGGCUCAGAGGCAGAGCAUCGGUCUCGUAAACCGGGGGUCGAGAGUUCGAAUCUCUCCAGUGGCU